rnacentral:rRNA from 1 species
GACGAACGCUGGCGGCGUGCCUAAUACAUGCAAGUCGAGCGGACGAAUCGAAAGCUUGCUUUUGAUUCGUUAGCGGCGGACGGGUGAGUAACACGUGGGCAACCUGCCCUGUAGACGGGGAUAACACCGAGAAAUCGGUGCUAAUACCGGAUAACACGAAAUGUCGCAUGACGUUUCGUUGAAAAACGGCGCAAGCUGUCGCUACAGGAUGGGCCCGCGGCGCAUUAGCUAGUUGGUGAGGUAACGGCUCACCAAGGCGACGAUGCGUAGCCGACCUGAGAGGGUGAUCGGCCACACUGGGACUGAGACACGGCCCAGACUCCUACGGGAGGCAGCAGUAAGGAAUCUUCCGCAAUGGACGAAAGUCUGACGGAGCAACGCCGCGUGAGCGAAGAAGGCCUUCGGGUCGUAAAGCUCUGUUGUUAGGGAAGAACAAGUAACGCAGUAACUGGCGUUACCGUGACGGUACCUAACGAGAAAGCCACGGCUAACUACGUG